rnacentral:rRNA from 1 species
GACGAACGCUGGCGGCGUGCUUAACACAUGCAAGUCGAACGAUGAAGCCGGAGCUUGCUCUGGUGAAUUAGUGGCGAACGGGUGAGUAACACGUGAGUAACCUGCCCUUGACUCUGGGAUAACUGCGGGAAACUGUAGCUAAUACCGGAUACGACCCUCGGAGGCAUCUCCUGGGGGUGGAAAGAAUUUCGGUCAAGGAUGGACUCGCGGCCUAUCAGCUAGUUGGUGAGGUAAAGGCUCACCAAGGCGACGACGGAUAGCCGGCCUGAGAGGGUGACCGGCCACAUUGGGACUGAGACACGGCCCAGACUCCUACGGGAGGCAGCAGUGGGGAAUAUUGCACAAUGGGCGCAAGCCUGAUGCAGCAACGCCGCGUGAGGGAUGACGGCCUUCGGGUUGUAAACCUCUUUUAGCAGGGAAGAAGCGAAAGUGACGGUACCUGCAGAAAAAGCACCGGCUAACUACGUGCCAGCCGCCGCAGUAA